GCACCUUUCUCUGGAGGAGCCCUAUGGUGCGAGUUAAUACUUUACAACCCGAAAUAUAAAAUAUUAAACAAUUCAAAUACAAACAAACAGCUCGUAAAACUAUUUUCAAACCGUAUAAAGUACAAAUCGUUAAGCGACUCAAGUUUGAAAGUUUGAACUCCGUGUUACCCCUUCGUGCUCUUGUUCCGCGGUGCGCGCCACGCUGAGUCUGGCAAAAUUCGUAACUAUCCUGAAGAGGCCGAAGGAUACUACGUAAUCUUAUUGGCAAGAACAUUUUGGGCCGAUUGCGGAAGUGUCAGAUCAGAGUCACUCGUGAAGCUCGCUACAUACAUUCAUUGCACAUACUCAUGUGGUUCCGUAUACUUUAAAUUGUUUACGGAAAUAAUAAUUCGACGACCAUAAGAAGAUUUCCUGCUGAAGCGACUGCAGCUGUUUGUCUUCUGGUGACAGAGACGAAAUCCGUUAUGGACACACCGCGGCCCGGGGGACAUGAGGGCUAUGUCGGACUCGAACCGACUGACACCCGCAGUGCUUCAUUGGACACGCCUGGGCGGAAUCACG
rnacentral:misc_RNA from 1 species